rnacentral:rRNA from 1 species
GGGGAAUAUUGCACAAUGGGGGAAACCCUGAUGCAGCGACGCCGCGUGGAGGAAGAAGGUCUUCGGAUUGUAAACUCCUGUUGUUGAGGAAGAUAAUGACGGUACUCAACAAGGAAGUGACGGCUAACUACGUGCCAGCAGCCGCGGUAAAACGUAGGUCACAAGCGUUGUCCGGAAUUACUGGGUGUAAAGGGAGCGCAGGCGGGAAGACAAGUUGGAAGUGAAAUCUAUGGGCUCAACCCAUAAACUGCUUUCAAAACUGUUUUUCUUGAGUAGUGCAGAGGUAGGCGGAAUUCCCGGUGUAGCGGUGGAAUGCGUAGAUAUCGGGAGGAACACCAGUGGCGAAGGCGGCCUACUGGGCACCAACUGACGCUGAGGCUCGAAAGUGUGGGUAGCAAACAGGAUUAGAUACCCAGGUAGUCCACACCGUAAACGAUGAUUACUAGGUGUUGGAGGAUUGACCCCUUCAGUGCCGCAGUUAACACAAUAAGUAAUCCACCUGGGGAGUACGACCGCAAGGUUGAAACUCAAAGGAAUUAACGGGGGCCCGCACAAGCAGUGGAGUAUGUGGUUUAAUUCGACGCAACGCGAAGAACCUUACCAAGUCUUGACAUCCUGCGACGAUGCUGGAAACAGUAUUUUCCUUCGGGACGCAGAGACAGGUGGUGCAUGGUUGUCGUCAGCUCGUGUCGUGAGAUGUUGGGUUAAGUCCCGCAACGAGCGCAACCCUUACUGUCAGUUACUACGCAAGAGGACUCUGGCAGGACUGCCGUUGACAAAACGGAGGAAGGUGGGGAUGACGUCAAAUCAUCAUGCCCUUUAUGACUUGGGCUACACACGUACUACAAUGGCGUUAAACAAAGAGAAGCAAGACCGCGAGGUGGAGCAAAACUCAGAAACAACGUCCCAGUUCGGACUGCAGGCUGCAACUCGCCUGCACGAAGCUGGAAUUGCUAGUAAUCGUGGAUCAGCAUGCCACGGUGAAUACGUUCCCG